rnacentral:rRNA from 1 species
GACGAACGCUGGCGGCGUGCUUAACACAUGCAAGUCGAGCGGUAAGGCCCUUUCGGGGGUACACGAGCGGCGAACGGGUGAGUAACACGUGGGUGACCUGCCCUCAGCCCUGGGAUAAGCCUGGGAAACUGGGUCUAAUACUGGAUAUGACUCCACGGUGCAUGUCGUGGGGUGGAAAGCCUUGUGCGGCUGAGGAUGGGCCCGCGGCCUAUCAGCUUGUUGGUGGGGUGANGGCCUACCAAGGCGACGACGGGUAGCCGGCCUGAGAGGGCGACCGGCCACACUGGGACUGAGACACGGCCCAGACUCCUACGGGAGGCAGCAGUGGGGAAUCUUGCGCAAUGGGCGAAAGCCUGACGCAGCGACGCCGCGUGAGGGAUGACGGCCUGG